GCUAUCCCUGUCCAACAGAGGGAUAGCCCAGCAUCCAAACGCAUCCUAACGCACGAAACGCAUCCCAGCCCAAACGCCACGAGCACGCACGCCGCCGCCCAGUGUCUGCGCUCCGCCGGCGCCGUCCCCCCUUUCCCGGCCUUCCCCCGCCCCGGUCAACAUCUCCCGCGUAGCCUGGCCGUGCCGCACUACUGCGGUGCGCCGUGCGCCCCCUGCUGGCCCCGGCCAGCCGGCCUCCCUCCGCGGCGGCGACGAGCAGAGCAGCCAACGUGGCGACGGCGGGCCCCCUCCUGUGCGCUCCGGCCCCGUGCUUCUGCCGCCGCCGGCUGUGUGGCCUGCUUCUGCCUACUGCCGCCGCGGCGCCCCUCCUCUCGCUGAAAUAGAAGUUGGUGUUUGCUUCAAUCCUGGCUUCAUCACUGGCUCCCAUCUCAGUAUCCCACCAUGCUCUUCAGUCGGAAGCUUCUCCCAUGGCCGUGCCCAAGACAGUCACAAGCCCAGGCUCUGCUCUGCCGCCCAUUUUCCGCCUUCUACCCAACCAACCCCGACGAUGACGACCCUCCGUUUACACGGAUCCCCAAAACCCCACCUCGAGCUUCGGCGCCGGCGCCGCCACCGCCGAAGCCCAAAGACCAGCCUGCCAAGAUCAGCCCCGACGAGCCGGCACACUCCGACCUUCCCUUCGACUUCCGGUACUCGUACUCGGAGACUGACCCGACCUGGAGGCCCAUUGGGUUCCGCGAGCCAACCCGGUUUUCGCCCUUCGGCCCCGGCCGCCUUGACCGGCCUUGGGACGGCGUCGUCGCCGCCGCCGUGCGCGCCGAAGGGAACAGAGAGGAUGUUUGUGGCGGUCCGAGUCGUAGGGAUGAGGUGCUUGGCGAGGCACUGUCGGAAGCGGAGGUGGCAGAGCUCGUGGAGAGGUACCGGCACAGCGACUGCUCCCGGCAGAUCAAUUUGGGGAAAGAUGGUGUAACUCAUAAUAUGCUCGAUGACAUCCACAACCACUGGAGACGUGCAGAAGCAGUCAGAAUCAAAUGUCUUGGGGUUGCAACUCUUGACAUGGACAAUAUAUGCUUCCAUCUUGAGGAUAAAACAGGUGGGAGAAUCAUAUACCGUAGCAUAAAUAUACUCAUCCUAUAUCGUGGCCGGAACUAUGAUCCAAAACAACGGCCUGUCAUACCAUUGAUGUUGUGGAAGCCAUUGGCUCCUAUUUAUCCUAAGGUUGUCCAAAAUGUUGCUGAAGGGUUGACUUUUGAGGAAACAAAAGAAAUGAGAAACAAAGGAUUACAUUCGCCACCGCUUAUGAAACUGACUAGGAAUGGUGUUUAUGUUAAUGUUGUUGACAAAGUGAGAGAGGCCUUUAAGACUUUGGAAGUUGUGAGACUAGAUUGCUCUCAUUGCGGUACUAGUGAUUGCAAAAAAAUUGGUGUGAAGCUGAGGGUAUGUUGUAACUUUCUAAUGCUCUCUAUGAAUUAAUCCCAUCAGUCUUGCAUUCAUAUGGAAGAACAAUGAAACUGGAAAGAAUUUGAAUAAAAGCUCUAAUCAAACAGGUGUGCUGGUGUAGUAGUUAACUUGCAGUUGAGAUAUAACGACCCUCCUGCAGUUUGCAGUUCGCUCGUCAUAUAUGCAGCUAAAGUAUAUUAUGCCUUAGAACUUGCUUAUAAUUUCAGACAGAAGACAUCUCCUUUGCAACACAACAGUAAGAAACACUGGAGAGUUUACGAUAGAAACUAGACACUCCUUUAUCUCUUGCAAACAUAGCACUUGGAAUGCUUUAUUUAACUUUGUUGUUUCUUUCCUUUGGUUUCAUAGGAUUUGGUUCCAUGCAUCCCUAUACUAUUUAAAGAUGAACAAAUUAUUCUCUGGAGAGGGAAGCGGGACCAGGAGGACUCUGUUUCAGCUCAUUGUGCUUCUUGGCCACAGUGAUGCAAGUGCUUGUAAUCUACUCCCUCCGUUCCUAAAUAGAUGACUCAACUUUGUACUAACUUUAGUAUAAAGUUGAGUCAUCUAUUUUGGAACGGAGGGAGUACAACCCUAUACUCAGAGUAGCAGCUAGCUGAAGCAGGCCUGCUUUUUGGGUUACUUCUGUGAGUUGCAUGAGAUGUGUUCACUGGAGUAUAAGGAUCUGCAGUCUACAAGAAAUGGUCUAAUUGUUUGUCAGCAUUUCUUGGCUGCUGUUUGAAGUAAUUUUAUCUUGAGAGCAUGUGGACCUUACAACCAGAAAGUGGGUUUCUUUCUGGGUGAAGAGAAAGACAAUUUCUAAGAGCAUCUCCAGCAGCCGCGCUGGAAAAAUACAGAUUUUUGCGCGCGCAGCCGCUCCGGGCGCUCCAGCGGAGGGCGAGACGGCAUCGCGCGCCGCUUAUUUCGUGCGCCCACUUCCGCGCGCUACACACUCGAGCGCCCUCGCCGCACCCUCGCCACCGAGCCGCUUUCGGCCCGCCCGAGCUGCCUCCGGCGAAUUCACCCGAUGGACGGCCGCGCUGACAUCCCCUUCACCUCUUCCUACACCCGCGACCCCUCCUUGCUUCGAAGCGAUUGCUACGGUCAGCAGCUCUUCCAGCUGAGGGAUUCAUCUUCAGUUUUCGGUCCUCUAGGUUUCGCCCUCCGCAGUUUUGGAAGUGCCGGCUUGUUUCUGUUGCUUCAUCUGCCUGAUUCAGGAUCGAUGCUCGAGAUUGAGACGCCAAAAAGCAGAAUUUGUACAGACAUGUGAUUCACAUCCAUGCCAUUUGAAUCAAGAGCAGAUGGUCUGAGCCUCAAA
rnacentral:rRNA from 1 species